rnacentral:lncRNA from 1 species
AUUAACCCAAUUAAUUUAGAUAAAUGAUCUUUUUUAUAAUCUAUGCUGGUUAGUCGCAUUUUAAUAUUCUUUUAAUAAAUGCUGGCGGGCUGCUUCGUUCACUAGAAGCAAAGGACAAAUAUAUAUAUUAAGUGUAUGAUCUUGUAAACUUUGUGAACCUCACAUUGAACAUUACAUACGAAGUUUAGAAGAAAGAUAUAAAGAUCAAAUCGCGCUGCUUCAAAUGAAUUCUGCUUCCAGCUUCCUUGUCAAAUUCAAUCCUUUGCGACAGCCUGGUAAGUCUCUUCUCUUGUUUUCCUUCUAAUCUAUUCUGAUCUUAGUUCAACGUACACUUUGUAAAGCCAUUUUGAUGGCGCAUUUUUAUAACGAGUAUGUUCUUCGGUAGUCUCUUGUUCUAAUCUUGCAUAUCCUUACAUCAUAUGGCCGCUUGCACUGUCUGAGCAUGAUUUGUGAAGAGAAGAGUUGAAGGAGGAAAAAGAUGAGAAGAGAAGAGAAGACAAGAAUUGAGGUGGCGGCUAGCUUGUGAAAGUGUGAAAUUAGGGCAUCUCUCUUUUCUUUUUCUUUUUUUUUUUUUAUUCCGGGUUCGGGUUUCGGAUAUACGGGUUCAUCCGAACCCGGAACCAGACCCAAAUAUGUCUGGGUCAAUAAAAUUUAAUUCGAAUAUGGAUUUAUUUUAAUCCGGUACGGGUUGAAUCCGAACUGAAUUAUCCAGAUUCGUCCGGAUCCGAUCCGAAUCCGGGUUAAAUUACCAUCCUUAAUUAUAAUAAUUAAAUAAGUUCUUAAACUAUCCUUGAAUUGAAUGCAAAAUUAAAAUGUAAAAUCCCAGUCGAACGACAAUCGUCUAAUCCCUAUCAAUAAGUCCUCGUUAUUAGCAACUUAUUUAAGUAUUCAAAUGUACAAUCACAAUUGACCAAAAUUGACCAUUAGGAAACUUUAUAUUGAAUGCGAGAAUAUCGUUUCAACCUUACAAUGUGUAAAAGACCAGUGAAAAAACAAAAAAAUCAUCAACUUUGUUAUAUUUGUUUGAUAAUAUUUUAUAUUCUCUGGCCCUUUCAG